GCCGCUGCUCCCAGCGGCCACUGGUACGCCCGUACUGGGGGGUACCUGCCAGAACCCACUACUGCUGCAGUCUCUCCAUUGAUAGAUUAAUAGAAAUCCUUCUGUUUGUAUUGAAAUUGGAGAUUUUGUAUAUAAUUUGCAAUUUGAGCUUCCUAACUGCUAAUCUUCUUGAUUAUAACUAUUAUUUGCUCCUUUAUUAUUUCCAGUGCUUACUUGAUCUUCCUUGUUUCUAAGUGGUAUUUCUUGAUUAGGUAUUCUUUGGUUUUCUUUUUGUUAAGUUUAUUUUCAUUCAUCUGUUCUAGUUUACUUGAAUCUUAUCUCAGUUUGCUAAUCUUAUUUUCCAGCCUGAUCUUACAUUUUGGUGGGGCAUAGUUUGCCUUUUAUCUUUGUUGACUUUGCACCCCAGAUAUUCAAUGAGAACUGCAGUUUUUGCUGUAUAUUAGUUGGAUUGUUAUUUGCAGUGAGCUAGUGCUUAAAUUUGAUAUUACAUUACUUGGCAUCUUUUAAUGCUUGUGCUAGCUAUUUCUUUUGAAAAACCUUCAAUGCAGGUAACCUUACUCUGUUGUUUUGUGCUGUUCUAGAUGCUUAAUAUUGAUAAGUAAUAUUAUUUUUUGUACUUUUAAAAGAAAAUAUGAUCAAAAUUUUAUUUCAGAAUGAGUACACCAAUUUAUAUUCUUUUAAAACUACAUGAUUUCUCGAUUGUACAAUAGGUUUUUAGGUUGAAAACUUAUUUAAAAAAAAAUUAUAUGAACCUCCUCAGAGUGUAGAGUUUCAGCUAAUAAUUUCUGCUGAGUUUUCGAGCCUGAAUAAUUCAUUGUUCCAUAAAUAAUAUGUAUGUUCAUUUUGUAAGAAAUUCACUUACCAGAAUAAUUUUUCUUUUUCUUUUUAGGUAACUUCAUCAAACUAGUUAUAUGUGGGUCUUCAUUACCUUUGUGGAUUUUGGCAGUAACAAUUUUUUACCGGAAAUAUAUAGAAAAGAUAAAGUCAGAGAAGAAUGAAAAGGAAGGGCAGACACAGCAACCAUAAUAGUGGCUUGGCUGCCUGGGGCAUGAG